UGCAGCAUUAUAUUCUACAAAGAAACAAGUUUCCAUGGGUGAAAAAGGUGGGACUGAAUGCUCCCACAGUACAGUUCCUGAUAACAACAGAUCCCAUGCUUACUCCAUUUUAUUGUGAUAAUCACAUAAGCAGCCCCAAAUGAACAAUAAUGCAACUGGUUCGGCCACCAACCAACUACUGAAGGCUCUUGCCACAGACCAGCCAAAAGAAAUCCCGCCUGAAUCUAAAGUGAUCAUUGCGGUUCUGACCAUUCGGACAUCACUUCCUCCAGUCCGCCUAUAUAACCGCCAUAUUCAUUUGACCACUCAGUUCAGUUCUGGACCCCAGUCUGUAAAGACUUUUUUUUCCCUCUCAUUUACUUGACCCAUGUAUGCAGGGUGGCUACCCCAAACCUUUUUCUGUCUCUUAUGUUCUCCUGAUCCCUCAACGUGCAAUCGCCUCACAGGCAGGAUCCAGUGACAACAACGCAGCAGAUUUAUUGUGUGUACUCAUGCAUGGCAACAGCGAGAUUUGGAUUAAAGUGUAGAAUUUGAAAACAAGGAUCCUUCACAAAGUUGUUUCUAGAAUAUCCAUUUGUUUUUGUGUUCUCACAUUUUCUGCAUCAACUCUAUUAACUACCCUGCGAACAGAUGACAUUUUUUUUUUCUUCUGUAAUGUGCCUGGUGAUGUAUUUCAUGAAAAACACUGUAGAACAUGAAGUAUUGGCAAUAUACUGUAUUGACAAUUCAGGUGUCAAUUUUACAUGAGACAUGUCUGAAACAAACACAAGCCACAUUAACACACCAUUUUAAAGUGCCAGUGAAAUAAUUUACCUACAUUUUCCUAAUUGCUUCUUUACUGAUAGAUCCUUGGCCUAGACACUUCCCUGAAAAGACAUUCAGAGGGAUCACCUACAAAUAAUCUGAGAAAACUAAAGUAUUAGCGAUCAGUGUACUAUUGAGAUUAAGAUGGCACUGGAAACUUGGUUAAUCAUCACGUUUCCUAUCAACAGGUUUGUAGAUUACGGUAAAAUACUUGAAGAUAACAUUUAUCCUCGAAUGUUUAAGGAGACUAGUGAGCACAUACUGUAUGUACAGUAAA